rnacentral:rRNA from 1 species
GCCUUUCAGGCGCGAUAUCCGGUGGUCCAGGCCGUCGAGAAAAGCCUCGGCGCGAGGGGCGUUGCCGCCCGUACCCCAAACCGACACUGGUGGUCAGGUAGAGAAUACCAAGGCGAUCGAGCGAAUCCUGGUCAAGGAACUCGGCAAAUCACUCCCGUGCCUUCGGUAUAAGGGAGACCCCUGAUGGUGAUGGAACUUGCUUCCGGAGCUUUCGGGGGUGGCACAGACCAGGGGGUAGCGACUGUUUACCAAAAACACAGGUGCAUGCGAAGGCGCAAGCCGCUGUAUAUGCACUGACGCCUGCCCGGUGCCGGAAGGUUAAGAGGAUCCGUCAGCCCUCGGGUGAAGCGGUGAAUUCAAGCCCCGGUAAACGGCGGUGGUAACUAUAACCAUCCUAAGGUAGCGAAAUUCCUUGUCGGGUAAGUUCCGACCUGCACGAAUGGCGUAACGACUUCCCCACUGUCUCGACCAGGAGCUCGGCGAAAUUGCAGUACGAGUAAAGAUGCUCGUUAAGCGCAGAAGGACGAAAAGACCCCGGGACCUUUACUAUACCUUGGUAUUGGCGUUAGGCGCGGAUUGUGUAGCAUAGGCGGGAGGCUUCGAAGCGCGGGCGCCAGCCCGUGUGGAGCCGCAAGGUGAAAUACCGCUCUGUUCUCGUUUGACGUCUCACCUCGAACAGUCAUCCUGUUCAGGGACAGUGCCUGGCGGGUAGUUUAACUGGGGCGGUUGCCUCCCAAAGAGUAACGGAGGCGCUCAAAGGUCCGCUCAGCCCGGUUGGCAAUCGGGUUUCGAGUGUAAUCGCACAAGCGGGCUUGACUGCGAGAACGACGGUUCGGGCAGGGACGAAAGUCGGAGAUAGUGAUCCGGUGCCGGCGCACGGGCGCGGCAUCGCUCAACGGAUAAAAGGUACCCCGGGGAUAACAGGCUGAUCAUUCCCAAGAGUCCAUAUCGACGGGAUGGUUUGGCACCUCGAUGUCGGCUCGUCGCAUCCUGGGGCUGGAGCAGGUCCCAAGGGUUCGGCUGUUCGCCGAUUAAAGCGGCACGCGAGCUGGGUUCAGAACGUCGUGAGACAGUUUGGUCUCUAUCCUCUGCGCUCGUUGGAAUCCUGAGGAGGCCUGCCCAUAGUACGAGAGGACCUGGGUGGACGGACCUCUGGUAUGCCGGUUGUCGCGCCAGCGGCAUGGCCGGUUGGCUACGUUCGGGAGGGAUAACCGCUGAAAGCAUCUAAGCGGGAAGCCUGCUCCAAGAUUAGGAUUCCUUGGCACUUCGGUGUCCGAAGCCCGCAUGUUGAACACGUGUUCGAUAGGCCGGAGGUGGAAGUCCCGCGAGGGAUGGAGCCGACCGGUACUAACGGGCGAACGCGGCACACUC